rnacentral:lncRNA from 1 species
CCCGAAGGCCGGGGCGCCAAUUUCGUGCAGCGGAAAAAGGCCACAAAAACGGGUGGACUAUAGCCUUGGGGGGUGGGGCUUGCCAUCAUCGUCCGCCGGACUCGGAAUGGCGUGAGACUUUACAAGGCGCCUCCGUGUGCCAAAAAGUGGCCGUGGGCACACCCGCGCCGAAAAAUAACCGCCCGAAGGCCGGGGCGCCAAGUUCGUCCUGCGGAAAAAGCCCACAAAAACGGGUGGGCUAUAGCCUUGGGGGGUGGGGCUGGCCAACUUCGUCCGCUGGUCUCGGAAUGGCGCGAGACUUUCCGAGGCGCCUCCGUAUGCCAAAAAUAGGCUGCGGGAACAGCCGUGCCCAAAAAGAACCGCCCGAAGGCCGGGGCGCAAUUUCGUCCAGCGGAAAAAGCCCACAAAAACGGGUGCGCUAUAGCCUUGGGGGGUGGGGCUGGCCAACUUCGUCCGCCGGACUCGGAAUGGCACGAGACUUUGCGAGCCGCCUCCGUGUGCCAAAAAUAGGCCGCGGGCGCAACCGCGCCCAAAAAUUAGCCCCCGAAGGUCGGGGUGCCAAGACCCCCCAGUGGAAAAAUGGCCAAAAAACGGGUGGGCUAUAGCCUUGGUGGGGGGCGUGGGCGAAGUUCGUCCGCAGGACUAGGAAUUGCCCCAGACUUUGCGGACGGCCCUCGUGUGACAAAAAUAGGCCACGGGCACAGCCGUACCCAAAAAUUAGCCCCCGAAGGUCGGGGUGCCAAGACCCCCCAGCGGAAAAAUGGCCAAAAAACGGGUGGGCUAUAACCUUGGUGGGGGGCGUGGGCGAAGUUCGUCCGCCGGACUCGAAAUGGCCCCAGACUUUGCAGGCGGCCCUCGUGUGCCAAAAAUAGGCCACGGGCACAGCCGCGCCCAAAAAUUAGCCCCCGAAGGUCGGGUUGCCAACACCCCCCAGCGGAAAAAUGGCCCAAAAACGGGUGGGCUAUAGCCUUGGUGGGGGGCGUGGGCGAAGUUCAUCCGCAGGACUCGGAAUGGCCCCAGACUUUGCGGGCGGCCCUCGUGUGCCAAAAAUAGGCCAUGGGCACAGCCGCGCCCAAAAAUUAGCCCCCGAAGGUCGGGGUGCCAAGACCCCCCUGCGGAAAAAUGGCCAAAAAACGGGUGGGCUAUAGCCAAGGUGGGGGGCGUGGGCGAUGUUCGUCCGCAGGACUCGGAAUGGCCCCAGACUUUGCGGGCGGCCCUCGUGUGCCAAAAAUAGGCCACGGGCACAGCCACGCCCAAAAAUUAGCCCCCGAAGGUCGGGGUGCCAAGACCCCCCAGCGGAAAAAUGGCCAAACAACGGGUGGGCUAUAGACUUGUUGGGGGGCGUGGGCGAAGUUCGUCCGCAGGACUCGGAAUGGCCCCAGACUUUGCGGGCGGCCCUCGUCUGCCAAAAAUAGGCCACGGGCACAGCCGCGCCAAAAAAUUAGCCCCCGAAGGUCGGGGUGCCAAGACCCCCCAGCGGAAAAAUGGCCAAAAAACGGGUGGGCUAUAGCCUUGGUGGGGGGCGUGGGCAAAGUUCGUCCGCCGGACUCGGAAUGGCCCCAGACUUUGUGGGGGGCCCUCGUGUGCCAAAAAUAGGCCACGGACACAGGCGCGCCCAAAAAUUAGCCCCCGAAGGUCGGGGUGCCAAGACCCCCCAGCGGACAAAUGGCCAAAAAACAGGUGGGCUAUAGCCUUGGUGGGGGGCGUGUGCGAUGUUCGUCCGCCGGACUCGAAAUGGCCCCAGACUUUGCGGGCGGCCCUCGUGUGCCAAAAAUAGGCCACGGGCACAGCCGCGCCCAAAACUUAGCCCCCGAAGGUCGGGGUGCCAAGACCCCCCAGCGGAAAAAUGGCCAAAAAACGGGUGGGCUAUAGCCUUGGUGGGGGGCGUGGGCGAAGUUCGUCCGCCGGACUCGAAAUGGCCCCAGACUUUGCGGGCGGCCCUCGUGUGCCAGAAAUAGGCCACGGGCACAGCCGUGCCCAAAACUUAGCCCCCGAAGGUCGGGGUGCCAAGACCCCCCAGCGGAAAAAUGGCCAAAAAACGGGUGGGCUAUAGCCUUGGUGGGGGGCGUGGGCGAAGUUCGUCCGCCGGACUCGAAAUGGCCCCAGACUUUGCGGGCGGCCCUCGUGUGCCAAAAAUAGGCCACGGGCACAGCCGCGCCCAAAAAUUAGCCCCCGAAGGUCGGGGUGCCAAGACCCCCGAGCGGAAAAGUUGCCAAAAAACGGGUGGGCUAUAGCCUUGGUGGGGGGCGUGGGCGAAGAUCGUCCGCAGGGCUCGGAAUGGCCCCAGACUUUGCGGGCGGCCCUCGUCUGCCAAAAAUAGGCCACGGACACCGCCGCGCCCAAAAAUCAGCCCCCGAAGAUCGGGGUGCCAAGACCCCCAGCGGAAAAAUGGCCAAAAAACGGGUGGGCUAUAGCCUUGGUGGGGGGCGUGGGCGAAGUUCGUCCGCAGGACUCGGAAUGGCCCCAGACUUUGCGGGAGGCCCUCGUGUGCCAAAAAUAGGCCACGGGCACAGCCGCGCCCAAAAUUAGCCCCCGAAGGUCGGGGUGCCAAGACCCCCCAGCGGAAAAAUGGCCAAAAAACGGGUGGGCUAUAGCCUUGGUGGGGGGCGUGGGCGAAGUUCGUCCGCAGGACUCGGAAUGGCCCCAGACUUUGCGGGCGGCUCUCGUGUGCCAAAAAUAGGCCACGGGCACAGCCGCGCCCAAAAAUUAGCCCCCAAAGGUCGGGGUGCCAAGACCCCCCAGCGGAAAAGUUGCCAAAAAACGGGUGGGCUAUAGCCUUGGUGGGGGGCGUGGGCGAAGUUCGUCCGCCGGGCUCGAAAUGGCCCCAGACUUUGCGGGCGGCCCUCGUGUGCCAAAAAUAGGCCACGGGCACAGCCGCGCCCAAAAAUUAGCCCCCGAAGGUCGGGGUGCCAAGACCCCCCAGCGGAAAAAUGGCCAAAAAACGGGUGGGCUAUAGCCUUGGUGGGGGGCGUGGGCCGA